rnacentral:rRNA from 1 species
AUGCAUUUUAAUUUUAACUCUAUUUGUUGUGGUUUCUUUUUUUAUUAAAUUUUUUAUGCUGUUUUUUGUAAAAUGUUUAGGCUUGUUUUAAAUUUUAAAAAGAAAUUUAAAAUUUGAGUUUUGAACCGGAUUAGUACCCGGGUAAUCAAAGUUUAUUAAUACGGGAGUAAAGUUUUAUUUAAACCGAAAAAAUAUUGACUGACUUCAGAUUUUUCUUUGGAACAUGUAUUUUUUUUGGAAGGCCCUCCUUUUUUGAUGAUCUUGUGGGCCCAUGUAUGAUUGUUUAGUUUUUAUUUCUUUUGUGAUGCUUUUUUUUUGUAUUAAAAAACAGAUAAAAACUUGGUUUAUGGAUUUUGGUUUUAUGUGUUACUAUUUUUAAUGGGUUAUGGAUGUUUUUUUUAAUUUUUAUUGAAAUUGGAAAAGAAAGUAAUUUUUUUUUGAUAU